GAUGAACGCUGGCGGCGUGCCUAAUACAUGCCAGUCGAGCGAACAGACGAGGAGCUUGCUCCUUUGACGUUAGCGGCGGACGGGUGAGUAACACGUAGGUAACCUACCUAUAAGACUGGGAUAACUUCGGGAAACCGGAGCUAAUACCGGAUAAUAUUUCGAACCGCAUGGUUCGAUAGUGAAGGAUGGCUUUGCUAUCACUUAUAGAUGGACCUGCGCCGUAUUAGCUAGUUGGUAAGGUAACGGCUUACCAAGGCAACGAUACGUAGCCGACCUGAGAGGGUGAUCGGCCACACUGGAACUGAGACACGGUCCAGACUCCUACGGGAGGCAGCAGUAGGGAAUCUUCCGCAAUGGGCGAAAGCCUGACGGAGCAACGCCGCGUGAGUGAUGAAGGUCUUCGGAUCGUAAAACUCUGUUAUUAGGGAAGAACAAACGUGUAAGUAACUGUGCACGUCUUGACGGUACCUAAUCAGAAAGCCACGGCUAACUACGUG
rnacentral:rRNA from 1 species